CCGCGUUUCACGACAGCAUAUCAAUAAGUCAUUGCACCAGCAUCUAACACGGAUUCCGCUAGCAGCUGCUAGAGAUGCGGAAAAAGCUCAAAUUUAUAAUCUGUCGGUCUUUGGUCGUCCGAGUUGUUAUCUAGAGAAGUAAUGCCCGUGCUGGACCGUGUAUAAGUCUCCUGGGAUGGGGCGUCAUAGAGGGUGAGUCUCCCGUCUUUGAGACGGACUACCAGUGCAUUGUGGUAUGCUCUCUAAGAGUCGAGUUGUUUGGGAAUGCAGCUCAAAAUGGGUGGUAAAUUCCAUCUAAAGCUAAAUAUUGGCGAGAGACCGAUAGCGAACAAGUACCGUGAGGGAAAGAUGAAAAGAACUUUGGAAAGAGAGUUAAACAGUACGUGAAAUUGCUGAAAGGCGAAACGCUUGAAGUCAGUCGCGUUGGCUGGGAAUCUGCCUUGCUUUUGCAUGGUGUACUUUCUGGUUGACGGGUCAGCGUCAAUUUUGAUCACUGGAAAAGGCUCAAGGGAAUGUGGCAGCUUCGGCUGUGUUAUAGCCCCUGUUCACAUACAGUGGUUGGGAUUGAGGAACUCAGCACGCCGCAAGGCCGGGUUUCGACCACGUUCGUGCUUAGGAUGCUGGCAUAAUGGCUUUAAGCGACCCGUCUUGAAACACGG
rnacentral:rRNA from 1 species